rnacentral:rRNA from 1 species
AACGGUAACAGGUUAAGCUGACGAGUGGCGAACGGGUGAGUAAUAUAUCGGAACGUGCCCAGUCGUGGGGGAUAACUGCUCGAAAGAGCAGCUAAUACCGCAUACGACCUGAGGGUGAAAGCGGGGGAUCGCAAGACCUCGCGCGAUUGGAGCGGCCGAUAUCAGAUUAGGUAGUUGGUGGGGUAAAGGCCCACCAAGCCAACGAUCUGUAGCUGGUCUGAGAGGACGACCAGCCACACUGGGACUGAGACACGGCCCAGACUCCUACGGGAGGCAGCAGUGGGGAAUUUUGGACAAUGGGCGCAAGCCUGAUCCAGCCAUGCCGCGUGCGGGAAGAAGGCCUUCGGGUUGUAAACCGCUUUUGUCAGGGAAGAAAAGGUUCUGGUUAAUACCUGGGACUCAUGACGGUACCUGAAGAAUAAGCACCGGCUAACUACGUGCCAGCAGCCGCGGUAAUACGUAGGGUGCAAGCGUUAAUCGGAAUUACUGGGCGUAAAGCGUGCGCAGGCGGUUAUGCAAGACAGAGGUGAAAUCCCCGGGCUCAACCUGGGAACUGCCUUUGUGACUGCAUGGCUAGAGUACGGUAGAGGGGGAUGGAAUUCCGCGUGUAGCAGUGAAAUGCGUAGAUAUGCGGAGGAACACCGAUGGCGAAGGCAAUCCCUGGACCUGUACUGACGCUCAUGCAC